rnacentral:rRNA from 1 species
AGCCUAAAGAAUGUCUUUUAGGUUGCUUCUGCCCUAUGAAUAUAUCUUAAAUGGCCGCAGUAUCCUGACUGUGCAAAGGUAGCAUAAUCAAUUGGCUUUUAAUUAAAGUCUGGAAUGAAUGAAGGCAUGGGAAAAAGCUGUUUCAAUAAAAAUUCUUUAUAAAUUAAUUUUCAGGUAAAAAUACCUGAUCUUUUAAAAAAGACGAGAAGACCCCAAAAGCUUUCAUAAAGUUAAUUAUAACUAGUUAAUUUUUUUAGUUGGGGCGACUAUAAAAGAAACACGAAAACUUUUAUGUAUAGUUCUUAUAUAACGUAAAUUGAAAUUAAAAUUAAGCUACUUUGGGGAUAACAGCAUAAUAUUUCUAUAUGGUUAUGACCUCGGUGUUGGACUAAGAAUAAAAAUGGG